GAUGAACGCUAGCGACAGGCUUAACACAUGCAAGUCGAGGGGCAGCACAGGUAGCAAUACCGGGUGGCGACCGGCGCACGGGUGAGUAACGCGUAUGCAACCUACCUAUCAGAGGGGAAUAACCCGGCGAAAGUCGGACUAAUACCGCAUGUCGUUUCGGGAGGGCAUCCUCCUGAAAGAAAAGGAGCGAUCCGGUAUGAGAUGGGCCCGCAUCUGAUUAGCUAGUUGGUGAGAUAACAGCCCACCAAGGCGACGAUCAGUAGCCGACCUGAGAGGGUGAUCGGCCACAUUGGGACUGAGACACGGCCCAA
rnacentral:rRNA from 1 species